GAUGAACGCUGGCGGCGUGCCUAAUACAUGCAAGUCGAGCGAACAGACGAGGCGCUUGCUCCUCUGACGUUAGCGGCGGACGGGUGAGUAACACGUGGAUAACCUACCUAUAAGACGGGGAUAACUUCGGGAAACCGGAGCUAAUCCCGGAUAAUAUCUUGAACCGCAUGGGUGGAUAGUGAAAGACGGUUUUGCUGUCACUUAUAGAUGGAUCCGCGCCGCAUUAGCUAGUUGGUAAGGUAACGGCUUACCAAGGCAACGAUGCGUGGCCGACCUGAGAGGGUGAUCGGCCACCCUGGAACUGAGCCACGGUCCAGACUCCUGCGGGAGGCAGCAGUAGGGAAUCUUCCGCAAUGGGCGGAAGCCUGACGGAGCAACGCCGCGUGAGUGAUGAAGGUCUUCGGAUCGUAAAACUCUGUUAUUAGGGAAGAACAAAUGUGUAAGUAACUAUGCACGUCUUGACGGUACCUAAUCAGAAAGCCCCGGCUAACUACGUG
rnacentral:rRNA from 1 species